rnacentral:rRNA from 1 species
AACGAACGCUGGCGGCAUGCCUAACACAUGCAAGUCGAACGAGACCUUCGGGUCUAGUGGCGCACGGGUGCGUAACGCGUGGGAACCUGCCCUUAGGUUCGGAAUAACUCCCCGAAAGGGGUGCUAAUACCGGAAAAUGUCUUCGGACCAAAGAUUUAUCGCCUUUGGAUGGGCCCGCGUUGCAUUAGCUAGUUGGUAGGGUAAAAGCCUACCAAGGCGACGAUCCAUAGCUGGUCUGAGAGGAUGAUCAGCCACACUGGGACUGAGACACGGCCCAGACUCCUACGGGAGGCAGCAGUGGGGAAUAUUGGACAAUGGGCGAAAGCCUGAUCCAGCAAUGCCGCGUGAGUGAUGAAGGCCUUAGGGUUGUAAAGCUCUUUUACCCGGGAUGAUAAUGACGGUACCGGGAGAAUAAGCUCCGGCUAACUCCGUG